UCUUGCUAGUCUCCCCCCCUCAACAAGUUUUCCAUGUUAAACAGAUCCACAAGGCAAAGAUCUGAGGGCUUCCACUUACAGGCAGUGUGAAUGGGGUCCUCAGUCCACCAACCAUCAAUAAAGUGAAUCCUGCUCCAAGCCAGGCAGGUAUGUCUGAGUGCAGUCAGCGGUUGGAACCACGUAUGGCUUCAGGUAUCCAUGCGGCACCUUGGAACAAGGGAAGAAGUGACUGCCACAGUAUCCUGCCUCACAAGACUGGGCAAUGACCACCCCCAAUCAAAAUAGCUUGGAAACUAUUAAGUUAAGUGAUAGUUCUUAAAAAUUUACCAAGCAUUUGUUUAUUUUUACUAUUACUUUAUGUGUAUGGUUGUUUUGUCUGCACGUAUGUCUGUGUACUAUGUGUAUAAAAUGCCCGUGGAAGCUAGAAGAGAGUUUGGGGUCCCUAGGACAGAUAGCUGUGAGCAGUCAUGUGGGAAUAAAACCCUGAUCCUCUAGAAGAACAGCCAGUGCUCAUAACGGUUGGCCCAUCUCUCUAGCCCCAGAGGGUUAUUUAAAUCUUGGAAGGCUGUGAAACUAAUUCUACAAAAAUCUGUCCAAUUUUUAUUUGCUACUGUUUCUCAUAAUAUGAACUGGUGUGGUUCUGUUGCCUCAAUCUAUGUAAGGGUCAUUCAGAUGCCGCCACACUCUGUGUGACGAUGCCUGUGAUGUGUUUUCUGGUGAUAUCUAGAAUUUCAGACACAUUGAAAAUAAAUUAAACAGUGUCAAAUGCUUUCCUUAAGAUAACCAAGAUAGCAGGGAAAGAGAUGACAGUGAACACAUCAAUGGUUCCAUCGGCCAUGGGAGGAAGGGGCUUUCCCGGUACGGCAUUAUUAUCAGGGGCAAGAAGAACACAGCAAGCAUGCAGAUUCUCCCCGUCAUUCCCGGAACGCAAGCCAACGUCACACCAGCCGCAAAACCCAAACCAAGUCUUACUUAGCUGCUUCAGAUGCCUCCCUCAGUUCUUCAUCCAGUCUGCACGAGCAAAAAUAAUCGUUGGAGAAAAGAAACAAACAAACAAACAAACAAAAAAGCAAGCAGAGCGUGAGCAUCUCCCGCAAAGCAGAGCCAAAUAUUCCGUGUCUGAAAACUUGCCUGUUCACCAAGACGUCUGAAAUUUCCAGAAGCAAUGUGCAGUGCUUUUGUUCACUUGUGGGCAUGACAAGGCGACAAAAACUCAAGCUGCCGCCUGUGCACACGACCCUGGCUUCUAGGUGUUGCUACUGAGAUGCCUUGGGCGCCCUCAUUGGAAGAUCUCAUCUCUGAAAGUGAUGGCAGGUGCUGAUCAACUACCCAAGGCUCUAGCUCUAGCAGUGACACAGGAGGAAGAUGCUGGCAGUAGAUGUGGAUGGCCCCCUCUUGAGGAGCAGUUUCAUAAGAUGUCCCCUACAAAGACACCAAGUGUGACUCGAUCACCAAUAAAGCAGAA